rnacentral:rRNA from 1 species
GAUGAACGCUGGCGGCGUGCUUAACACAUGCAAGUCGAACGAAGCACUUUAUUUGAUUUCCUUCGGGACUGAUUAUUUUGUGACUGAGUGGCGGACGGGUGAGUAACGCGUGGGUAACCUGCCUUGUACAGGGGGAUAACAGUUGGAAACGGCUGCUAAUACCGCAUAAGCGCACGGCAUCGCAUGAUGCAGUGUGAAAAACUCGGGUGGUAUAAGAUGGACCCGCGUUGGAUUAGCUAGUUGGUGAGGUAACGGCCCACCAAGGCGACGAUCCAUAGCCGACAUGAGAGGCUGACCGGCCACAUUGGGACUGAGACACGGCCCAAACUCCUACGGGAGGCAGCAGUGGGGAAUAUUGCACAAUGGGCGAAAGCCUGAUGCAGCGACGCCGCGUAAGCGAAGAAGUAGGUCGGUAAGUAAAGCUCUAUCAGCAGGGGAGAUAAUGACGGUACCUGACUAAGAAGCACCGGCUAAAUACGUG